AGGAAAACUGGAACUUCAGGUAGACAACAAAAAAAUGUUUAGUGUAAGUAUGUCCCAGACAACAUUUAGGACAUACUUAUACUAAAAAAUGUUUAUCUGAAUUUAAAUUGAACUGAA
rnacentral:miRNA from 1 species